rnacentral:sRNA from 1 species
AAGACAGGAGGCAAAAGCAUCAGCCCCAAGCAGAGGAUCAAGAGGCCCAUUAGUUUGUUAUUGUGAGUUGGUGCUGAGACGACAGCAAAUCACAGGAGGAGGUGACAAUGCAGCAGGAUCCUAAGCCUAGCUCCUCUGAGCAAGAGGUCCUCAUCGGUCCUUACAGGAUCCUCAAGACCCUUGGCACAGGCAACUUUGCUCAGGUCAAACUGGCUGUGCACCUCCACACAAAGAUGCAGGUUGCUCUGAAGACCCUGGAAAAGGACAAAAAGAACGCUACUCUGAUUUCCACAGAGCUAGAAAUAAUGAAAUUAGUAGACCACCCUAAUAUAACCAAAUUGUUCCAUGUCAUGGAAACCAGUGAGCAUGUCUGCAUGGUUAUGGAAUACGCUCCUGGUGGUGAUCUGGCUGGUCGCAUCAUAGAGGUGAGCUACAUUCAGGAAGAGGAGGCCCGACACAUCUUCACACAGAUAGUUUGUGCAGUUAAUUACUGCCACAAGAAUGGCAUUGCACACAGGGACAUCAAGCCAGAAAACAUUCUGAUGGAUGCUAGAAGAAACAUCAAACUGUGUGACUUUGGCCUGGCCAUCAAGGUUAACACUGAGCAGAAGUCAACAGUGUUCUGUGGCACCCUUCCAUACUGUGCACCAGAACUUUUCAGCAUCCAAAGCUAUGAUCCCAGGGCCCUUGAUAUCUGGAGCAUGGGGGUGGUACUAUACAUCAUGGUGACGAAGCAUUACCCGUUCAAAGCAACGACAUAUGACAAGAUGAGGGAGGAGAUGCGGGACCCACACUACUAUAUCCCGCCAAAGCUCCCAGCACACAUUGCCAACCUCAUCAUGCAGUUGUUCACUAUUGAUCCUUUGCAGAGGCCCAAGAUAGGUGACGUUGCGAAACAUCAGUGGCUGCAGGGCAGCGAGGAGCUUUCAAAAAUCACCCUACCCCAAGAGACACUCAGCAGCAAGCCCAGCCCCAGUAUUAUGGCAAUUAUGGGGGCCAUGGGCUACAACCCCAAGGACAUUACAGACUCUUUAUAUAAAAAAAAAUUUAAUAGCAUCAUGGCAACUUACUUAAUUUUAAAACACCAGUCACCCUACAGGGACAGCGCUAACCGCAAGUUUAAACUCAUUCAGCCUCGUAGUGCCACGAUACCCACAGAUCCUCCCACUGUCCAUGUCUUCCUAAAGAACAUCGGGACUGAGCCUGACAAUUCCACCUCUGCUCCAACAGCAAAAGACAAGCCCUACAACAACGCCAAGCUUGUAAGAAAGGACAGCAAGAAUCCCAGGAUAACUGAUGCUAUGGGCCGCCAGAAGACUCGUGUCCCUCCUGAAACAGCUGCCCAGUGUGGGCCUGUGCAGCGUCACCAGGAGCCUCUCUUGAAAAGCAGCUUGCUGAAGAGAAACGUGGCUUCCAGUGCUGUAUCCUCUUUUCCUGUGCAGUAUGACCGUGAUCAGUUCUUGAACAGUAGCUUGCAGAAGAGAGGGGUGGUUUCUAAGGCCGUGUCCUGUGGUCCUGUGCAGUAUGUGCAGAGGAGAAACAUGAUGUCCAAGGCUGUGUCCUGUGGUCCUGUGGAGUAUGAAGAUGAGCAUCCCCCGAGCCACAGCUCACAGAAAAGAGGGGUGGUUUCUAAGGCCGUGUCCUGUGGUCCUGUCGAGUAUGAAGAUGAGCAUCCCCUGAGCCACAGCUUGCAGAAGAGAGGGGUGGUUUCUAAGGCUGUGUCCUGUGGUUCCAUGCAGCAUGACCUCGAGCAGCUCCCGAGCUUUCAAAAAACAAAUAUGGUUUCCAAGGCUGUGUCCUGUGGUCCUGUGCAGCUCUCCAACAGCACCUUGCAGAAGGGAGGCCUGGUUUCCAAGGCCGUGUCCUGUGGUUCCAUGCAGCAUGACCUCGAGCAGCUCCCGAGCUUUCAAAAAACAAAUAUGGUUUCCAAGGCUGUGUCCUGUGGUCCUGUGCAGCUCUCCAACAGCACCUUGCAGAUGGGAGGCCUGGUUUCCAAGGCCGUGUCCUGUGGUUCCAUGCAGCAUGACCUCGAGCAGCUCCCAAGCUUUCAAAAAACAAAUAUGGUUUCCAAGGCCGUGUCCUGUGGUCCUGUGCAGCUCUCCAACAGCACCUUGCAGAAUGGAGGCCUGGUUUCUAAGGCCGUGUCCUGUGAGUCCAUGCAGCAUGACCAUGAGCACCUCCUAAGCGGCUCCAUGGAAAAGAGAAACACAGUGGCUUCCAGGGGUACGUCUCCAGACACAGCUCCCUCCAUGGACGUUCUUUCUGAGUACCACAUUUUCCAGAUGGAUCCCCAGGGUGAAUCCCUGACUAAGUGCAGCUCAUACAUCCACAGUAUAGCCUCUGUAUGGAGCUCUGAGGAGAAGCCUCAGGAUAUGGCCACCACAGACUGUCAUCACAAGGACAGAAGCUUGUCCUUGCAGGAAACAUCUGAACCAAGCUUUGCUGCUGCCCAGACCCAGUGUGUAACCACAGCCUCUCCUCAGAACUCAUCAGGCAGAUGGAAGCGGGCAAAGAGAAGGAUGGUGAAGUGUUUAAGGAGAUUAUGCUGCUGUCUGCCAGACCAAAGGAGAAGCUGCACUUCCCAGAGGAGAGUGCUUCCACAGGAGGUGGGAGAAAGUGGAGUCACACAAAACCAGGAAAUCGCAGCCAGGAGGGAGUGUGACUCAGUGACGGCAUUCCACACCAUCCUUCUGGGAGCACAGACUGAGCUGAGAGCAUGCCUGAAGCUACCGGGAGUGAGAAGCCCCAUGUAUUUGUAUGAGAGAAGAUGGAUUAGAAUAUUGGAGGAACAGUCUUCUCACCAGAGUUACUAGAUAGCCUACCCCAACUGUCCCAAGGUAGGCUAGCACGGUUGAGUCCACACGGUAAGCAGUCUGUUGGGACAAGCUAAUGGCAUGUAUUAGAGCGUCCAGAUCUGUAAGGAUAGUUUCAGAGACCUCCUGAUAUAGGUUAUGAGAUCUUUGCACAGACUUUGGCAAGGGCCUUGGUUCCUCCUUGUAAAUUGGCCCAGCAACGGUUUUACUCACAGCUAUGCUGACAUAGAGUCACCUUAUUGCAUGCAAUUAUUAAAAACAAUCCACAAUAUCACUAACUACACACCAGCAAAGGCUGUCUCCCUGCCCCCAUGGCUAUCCCCAAAUGGCAGUCUGCCCAGUUUCCCCAGGUUCGCUUGUAUCUUCCCAGGCCAUCUACCCACUGCUAGCCCCUGCGGCUAGCUCUAAACCACUAUCCCCUUAUAAUUAAGACUCAAGAGACUUGUAAUUUAUCAGUCAGAUUUAUAACAGUAAAUUCUCAAUCCCCAGAAUGCCCACACUAAGAACCCAAAAACUCAAUUGAUUUUGAUAGAAGUUGUCCACCUAGAUUGGACAAAUUGCCCUAUAUUCUAUUGCUCUCCUAUGAUAUCCAUAGCUGCCUGUGGCUAUUUCAAGCCACGUGGAUCCAGUUUGUCCUCUUCCUCCAUCUUUCUCUGUCCUGUGUCCUCUUCCACCUCUGUCCCUUCUUUCUCUAUUGCCCACUCACAGGCUUUAGCCUUAUCUGACUAAGUAGAUUUCACCCAACCUCACCUGCAUACAGACAGCAAUUCACACAUGUUGGUGGGGUGCUGGCCUUAAACUUGUCACACAGCAGAAGAUGCAGCAUCUGUUGGUACUACGGGACUGUGGUAUGAGCAGGUUGGUAAACAGCCUUGAUGGGGUAAGCAUAGGGAGACAGGAUGAUGUGUGGUUAGGAGGCAGUGGGGUGCCUGUGUCCGGAAGUCUCUUCACAUUGUUUUCAGGAUGCUUGAAUCCUGUGACCAGUGCAGAGCAAAGAUGGGGGAAACUUGAGCUGGAUAGUAUCUCCAAGGAGUGCAGCAUGCCCUUACUCCCUCAGUCUCCCCUGGUAGAAGUUGGUUUUGCAACCUGCCCUAUGGUCCCGCCUACCUUCUAGGCCAGAGGACCCAGUUUCACAGCAUUCUGAGGCAGUAGUUCAGAAGGGGGAAGGAGAACUUUUGCUCUUCUGACAAGACACUGCCGGCAAGCUGGAGAAUAUGUGUCACUUGUGCUGUUCCUUUUUGGCUAGGUGAGUGGGCCUUGCCAGAUCUAGGACAUAGCAACUUCAGAUGCCUUUGCUACUAACUGUAGAACUGAUUUGAACCCAACAUCCACCUUUAGUGUCAGGCCUAGGUGGAAACAUCAGUUUUCAUCCAGCUGAGGCUUUUAGCUAGCGGUGUCAGCUUCUGUCUUUUGCCAUACAAGUUGUCUGUGUGUUCUUCUAGGCAUUCUGUGGUAGAGAACUCCUUGUGCUGAAGAGUGGCCACCUACACGACACUGUAUGGGUGAGCCAAAUGUGGGGGCUCUCAUUGCUCAAGAUGCCACUGAGCCUUGUCUCUGGGAGAAGACAAGUUUCAGGGUUCUGGUCUAAACUCAACACUGGCCUUGAGUACAGGGAAGACAUGAGGCUGCUGAAGCCAGCCUACCUCAACCCCUGGGACAGCAGUGACUGGCCCUGCCUCACAGAGGAGCAAAGGCCAACUGAGAGAAGGCACAGCUGUGGCUUUGGAAAGGCUUUGAAGGCAGAUCACCUCCGUCAGACCAUCAUGGGCAGCCUCUCCCCUACCUCUACAGCAUGGCAAACAUUCUGUCACUGGCCAGAGUGGGUCCAAUCAUUGGGUGACUACAGAGCUAGGCCCUUGGGCCAGCUGUACUCCAGUGAAAUUGGGGCCUGGGCAAGGGGGAGGUGACAGUUAUGUCCCUGGCUAGGAAACUCCUGGGUAGACUCCAGACAAUCAAGUGUUAGUGCUAAGUAGGUAGUGUUUUGGGAAAGAGGAUGAUGAGUCUGGAGACUAUGGCGUACAUGGGGAGCCCUGCAAGGGUAUGGUCAUGUUCUCAUUGCUCAGGAAACAAUGUUGCCAUGUGGCAACAUCUCAGUCCCUUGGGGUUUCAGAAUAAUUUCUGCUUUGAGGUUCUCCUUUAGCACAAAUGAAGAACUGGAUUCAGUGUCAUGCCAGUGGGUUACAAGAAGAGAGCAGUUCACCGUGAUUCAUCCCUCUGCGUGUACUUGUUAGGAAUUUUGUUUCUGUCCUCGAGUGUGGUGAGGAUUAUGCUGCUUAGUGACAAAGCCUCUCUCCUCAACCCUCAUAUACUUUUACCAACACUCAAAACACAGCCAGGAGGAUGGUUAUUGUAGUGAAUUAAGGCAGAGGACAAGACAGGAAUAGAUUCUGACCCGUGAGGUGGAAUUGGUCCUUCAGAGAGGACUGGUGUGAGGAUGAGAAAUUACCCCUGCUGAGUGCUGUCUUAUCCAGAAGGUACAGGUGCCAGCUGAGGAUCUGGGAAGUGACUCAGAGUCUCAGUGCAGACCCAGUACAGCCUGAGGAGGGCUAAAGAAAACCCCGCAAUUGGUCCUGAUAGCCAGUCCUUAUUGAAGUUAUCCUCCCAUGAGACCCACAUCUAGUAAUGGCUGCUGCUUAACUGAUGAGCAGGCUCAGCCAGGCCCGGUGGUGCUUAGCUAUUUGCCUGGUCAAGAGCCUACACACAAGGACCUCGCUCCAACCCUUGGAGUGCACAUGAGACCUGCAAAACUUCCCUUAACUGUGGAUUGUAAUAAAUGUGGAAUUUUACAGGCUAGGCUUGGUAUUGUAGGUGUAUUACCACCUAUAAGGGUUAUGGGAGGUUCAGGGCUGAAGCAGGAGGGUUGUCAGUUAAACCCCACUUGGGCCACAGGGCAUUCAGGGCAAGUCUCCUCAACAUAGCGCAGCCCUGUCUAAAGUAACAUGUAUACAGAGGGCCAUGGAUGCAGCUCAGUGGUAGAAUGCUUCUUCAGGCCUGGAGAGAAUCCAGCAAAGGAAGUGAAAGACCGCAACAGGACUUCCAUAGGAGUAGGGUCUUCGUGUCACCAUCAGAGGGCAUGGUGCUCGCCUGAUUGAAAACUGGGGUCUAGUUGAUGAUGUCAGCUGAAUGUUUCCUAGCUGCCUGUGGAUCUUGCCUUAAACCACAGUCAAAACAGCCCUAGCCAGCUGAGGGCUGGUCUAGCCUUGUCACCUGUGUCAUUAAGGAAGCAGGAAGAUCCCCUUAAGAAAAUGCAUUCUGCAGGCUAACAGUAGAGACUGCAUAAAUAGUUCAGAGAGCUCAAGACUGGAAAACAGCUGUCUACUAGAAGUUUUUAAGGGCAGACAAUGAAUUCAGGCUCUAGGAAGGCCCACUAGUCCAAAGAGGCUGUGAGAGGGUGAUGGCAGGGAUUCUGAGAGUCUCUAGUCUGCAUUCACCCAGGAACAGUGGGUAAACCUAGGGAGGACCCAGAUGUGCACCUUAGCACCCUGGAGUCUGAGGUCUCUGGGUCCAUCCCUUCAACCCUCCUUGUUAGAUGGAGCAGUGCAGAUGUCAGACCAAAAGCAGCAGCAGCUCCAAGACUGUCUUCAGCAAAACUACCCUUGCUCACUGUAACUCACCAACUGUUAAAGUGGUCCGUUACCCCCAUUUUCUCCAACACUCCGUCCUUUCCUCCUCUUCCCAAUGCCACCUCCUCUUAGCUCUAAUGUAAGACCAGCCAGUAAGCAGGAAGGAGUUGUUGGCUCUUAGGGUGCAGGACAGAAGCACAGUCAAAUCUCUGUUAGGCCCACUUUGAGGAUACACCACACAGGUGGCUGAGUGUUUCUUCCUUUAACCUCUUAUGGGUUCCUAGUGACUUACAUCCCAUCUGUUGAGAGACAAGCACUUUCAGAGCUAAAGCUAGCCCCCUUCAGGUACACCAGGCCCAGGUCCUGAUCUAGGCCUCUUAGCCACAGGAACUGAGCCUCCAAGGAGAGGUCGCCUUAGGUUUGGCAGCUGGGAGAGGAUCAGGGCUGAGGUCCAUUGGCUGAGGAUUUGAGGACUGGGAAGCAUCUCCAGGAGAUCCCAGGGAGAUCCGUGUUGGGACCCAAGUGGCUGGACGGUCUCCAGAGCACCAACUGGUACUAGGGGAACAAGGGGAAAGACAGGCUGUGGAGCUCCUCCUUGUCCUCCUUGGUUCUAGUCUGUGACUCCCGGACUCCUUGGUAGCAGAGGGUCCUCUGAGUCCCCUGAACAUCUGCAGCCUGGGGUUUGGGAAUGGGUUCCAUGGCCGUGGGCAGAAGCAGUAGAUGGGGUGACUUCCAGUGAGGGCAGCUCUUGAUUCUUCUGCAAGACAGCAACAGGCUUAGGCCCAAGCAUCUAUGCAUCAUACGUCAGUGGUCCUGUGGCACUAGUGGCCUCAGAAAGCCAUCCUGGCCAGUGCACUGACUGUUCUUUGAGGACCAUGGUCAUUUCUCUCUGUACUUUUGAAGAUGACCAACACAGAAACCUUGGAGGCUGCUUGGGAAGAACCAGUCUUGGGAGGUGCUGUCAUGCCCUACUCCUUUCCUGAGGCAGGUGGCACCUCCAGCGCCUGGGGAGGAAGUGUGCAAGAGUGGCUCAGCCCCAUGCAGGGAGGGCCAGAACAUUUGGGUGGCGGUAGGAAAGGGAGGAGACAGCUAUGUUGGAGAGACUGGGUCUGAGGCUGUGUUGCCUUGAUGGGAUCCUUCUAGCUCUAUAGAGUCUCUCUUCUUCUCCACAUCUGCACUCCUCAUCUGGGACAGCCCCAGCCUUAACGGCAGGGUCUCUUCCCUCUAGGUGUCUUGUUGUCUCUUGUUUACUCCCUGCUUUCCGUGUUCCACCUGGUGUCCCACUGCCUCUUGCUUAUGUACUGUUGUACCCAUGUCUGUCCGUCCCUGACUACCCGAUCAACACUGACUUCUUCCUCCUGUUCCAGAUCCUCUGCCAUUUUUAUCUCUGGUAUAGGGGAGAGGAUUUCAGCCACAAAGUGGGGUUUUGCAAUGGCCUCUACCUGUAAACAGAAAGACAAGAAUGCUGAGGGCAGGAAAAAAGUCUAGAAAACCUCCAAGGGAAUCAACAAGCAAAGCCUGGUACUUCCUGGUCCAUAUAACAUGAUUGACAAGGCAGGAUGGUUUCACACACACAAUUAGGCAGUAAGGAAGCAGGCUUAGUUCCAAAGACCUGGGAUGCUAUACCCAGAACCUGGCUAAUACCAGAGCUCCAGAUGCAGCUCAGUUGUUCAACAAGGUUUUCCUGGGACCAUGGCUCAUAUGUGUAUCUCUAGAGUCCUGGAUCAGUGAAAGAUUCAUCCUCUUCUUGCUCUGGCUUAAUGUUUCUAUUUCUCUCCCCUC